UACAGAGGGGGCAAGCGUUGUUCGGAAUUACUGGGCGUAAAGGGCGCGUAGGCGGCCUCUGCAAGUCAAUUGUGAAAUCUCCGGGCUUAACUCGGAAAGGUCAACUGAUACUGCAGGGCUAGAGUGCGGAAGGGGCAACUGGAAUUCUCGGUGUAGCGGUGAAAUGCGUAGAUAUCGAGAGGAACACCUGCGGCGAAGGCGGGUUGCUGGGCCGACACUGACGCUGAAGCGCGAAAGCUAGGGGAGCGAACGGG
rnacentral:rRNA from 1 species